rnacentral:misc_RNA from 1 species
UAUAAGGCCCCACCAUCCCCUCUGCA